UACGGAGGAUGCGAGCGUUAUCCGGAUUUAUUGGGUUUAAAGGGUGCGUAGGCGGUUUUUUAAGUUAGUGGUUAAACGUCGGGGCUUCACCUUGAUUUGCCAUUAAUACUGUAAGACUCGAGUUCAGACGAGGUAGGCGGAAUAAGUUAAGUAGCGGUGAAAUGCUUAGAUAUAACUUAGAACUCCGUUAGCGAAGGCAGCCUACCAGACUGCGACUGACGCUGAAGCACGAGAGCGUGGGUAGCGAACAGG
rnacentral:rRNA from 1 species